rnacentral:miRNA from 1 species
GAGAGAGAGAGAGAGAGAGAGGAAAAAGAAGAAGAAGAAGAAGAAGAAGAAGAAGAAGAAGAAGUUCUUCUUCUUCUUCUUCUUCUUCUUCUUCUUCUUCUUCUUCUUCUUUUCCUCCUCCUCAUCCUCUUCUCU